GGACGAACGCUGGCGGCGUGCUUAACACAUGCAAGUCGAACGGAAAGGCCCUGCUUUUGUGGGGUGCUCGAGUGGCGAACGGGUGAGUAACACGUGAGUAACCUGCCCUUGACUUUGGGAUAACUUCAGGAAACUGGGGCUAAUACCGGAUAGGAGCUCCUGCUGCAUGGUGGGGGUUGGAAAGUUUCGGCGGUUGGGGAUGGACUCGCGGCUUAUCAGCUUGUUGGUGGGGUAGUGGCUUACCAAGGCUUUGACGGGUAGCCGGCCUGAGAGGGUGACCGGAACGAGCGAGACGGAGGGCGGCCGAGGACGCGGACGGGAGGGAGCAGGGGGAAAGAUGGUAGGGGGGGCGGAGCAUGGGGGAAGCACGGGGGGGGGGGGGCGGAGGGGUGGGGGGUGGCAGCCAGCUUCGGCCGGGGCGGAGGGGGGGGUGUGGGGAAGGGGAAAAGAAGCACCGUCUAACUACGGGCCAGAAGCCGCGAAAAUAGGCGGAACAGCACACGUCUGAUC
rnacentral:rRNA from 1 species